rnacentral:rRNA from 1 species
UGGGGAAUAUUGCACAAUGGGGGAAACCCUGAUGCAACGACGCCGCGUGAACGAAGAAGGUUUUCGUAUCGUAAAGUUCUGUCCUAUGGGAAGAUAAUGACAGUACCAUAGAAGAAAGCUCCGGCUAAAUACGUGCCAGCAGCCGCGGUAAUACGUAUGGAGCGAGCGUUGUCCGGAAUUAUUGGGCGUAAAGGGUACGCAGGCGGUUUAAUAAGUCGAAUGUUAAAGAUCGGGGCUCAACCCCGCAAAGCAUUGGAAACUGAUAAACUUGAGUAGUGGAGAGGAAAGUGGAAUUCCUAGUGUAGUGGUGAAAUACGUAGAUAUUAGGAGGAAUACCAGUAGCGAAGGCGACUUUCUGGACACAAACUGACGCUGAGGUACGAAAGCGUGGGGAGCAAACAGG